UGCCUUGCUCACCUCUGUAUCCCCAGCACCCAGAUCAGUGCUUGGCACCUAGCAAGCACUCAGUAAAUACUUGUUGAGUGCCUGCUGUGUGCCGGGCAUUGUGCUGAGGGCUUUGUGGGGAUCCAGAGG
rnacentral:miRNA from 1 species